UCCAAAUGCUCAGCGGACAAGUGAAGGACGGAGCUGUGGCAGAAGAGGCGGCGCGACGGAGCAGAAGGGGCGGCACGACGGAGUAGGAGAAGAUGGUGCGGCGCGGCGGCCGGAGAAGAGUUUUGGUGAUGAGCUUGUGGCGACGCUGGACCAGCUGCUGCUGCCCCCAUGCGCCGUCGCCGUGGGAGGACCUCGUUGGCGCUGCGAAGGGGGCACAACUCAGGUUGGGUACGCCGUCGGCCAUCGCCGGCGGCGAGCACGCUCCACUGUGACAUGUCCGCCACAGCCAGUCCUCUCCCGCCUCCCCCAACUCCGUGUCCUUGUCCAACGCAAAUCAAUGGAGCUGCCGACCCAGAUUGUUGUUGGCUGCUAUAAGAAGGGAGGGUCCUCGGCUCGAAUCUCCAUCAGGUUAGUUUUGGACGAAGCAUCCAAUGUCGACACCGAGUUCGCCGCAGGAAGAAGCGCCGAUUUCGCCGGAGGUAGAAGAAGCGCCGAGUUCGGCGAAGGUAGAAGAACAGCCGUCGAGCUGUCCAAUGUCGCCUGCGUCGGCUAUAGCAGAAGACCUUAAGAUCAGCGAUGAACAUACGUCGAGCCGUCCAAUAUUUCCUGUGGCACCAACACCAAAGAGGAUUUUGAUAACCGACCUUCCAAAAAGGCAAAAAUUUCUGAAUCAGGUGUUCUGGAACCAUCACCUAUGUCACCAACUAUGAAAACAUCUUCUCCAUGUUCAGAGUGUUUUGAAUCGAUCAUGCUGGAAUCAGAUAAUCAGAUGAAUCAUGAUACACUACCAUCACCUCCAUCCCCAUCUAGCUCGACAAUAUCUCAUGUUUCUCCAUUGCAUGAUGUUAAGGAACCAGAUUCACAUAAAGAGAUCAAAGUUGAUGAGACAUAUGAUUAUCUCCCACAAGACUAUACAUUGACCGACCAUGAUCUAUGUGCUCAUAUAGCAAUAGAAUCAUCUUUUAGAAAACAAUUGUUGGUUCAGAUAGAUGGAAGUUCUGUCUUGCAACAUCAAUUGAUGUGCCUGCUAGAUGAAAAAGAGUGGGUAAAUGAUGAUGUGAUCAAUGCAUGUAUAUGUUGUAUAAAGGACCAAAUACAUCUCCAGAAUGAUAAUAAAGUAUAUUUUGAGAGUCCAUUUGUUACCUCACUAUUUAAACGAGAUGGCACCAUUGGAAUACAAGAAGAUAGUGCCUUCAUGACAGAGACUGUCCUUGAAUAUAUGCAGCCUGACAUGAUUAAACUUCCAAUAAAUGCCAAUAACACACAUUGGUAUUUAGCUGUUGUGAAUACAAAAAAAAUGUGAGGUUCAAGUACUAGACUCAUUGUGCUGGAAUUCUGACAGAGAUGAUCUCGCUAAUACGCUACGAGGAAUACAAUUUCAUUUGGACCUUCUUAAAAGUCAAAAGUUGGUAAGUGACGAUUGGAAAGACGUUGAUCUUACUGAAUGGAAGAUCACAGAACAAUUACAAAAGGCAAUUCAAAAAUAUAGCUCUUCAUGUGGUUUAUUUAUGGUUAAAUUUAUGGAAUAUUUCACCGGAUGUGCACUAUCCUACCCAAUUACACAAGAAAGUAUGGAUUUAGAGUUCAAAAUCAUAUCCAAUAAGCUUGUCUCUUAGAAAACUACAAGGAAUGCUAAAGGAUGAUUUACCCAUGGACCGAGAUUGCUUUAACUUGAUCGUACGAAAGAUUAUGUUGGAUGACAUCCAAACAUCACAAAAAAAGCAAUUGAUAGCAAAGCAUUAUCUGGACAUGAAAUUUUGGAUGGCUACUGAUUUUGGAAGGCACCCAGAUUUCCGUAAAAAGUUAGAUGUGGAGCAACUAGCAAAAUCUGUUCGUAGUUGGCCCGGUAUCAAAUAUAAUGUUUCAACAUGCAAAUCGAUCCAUAUCCCAGUACAAUCCAUUGAUGAAUUCAUUCUAUUCACAUUGGACCAAGAUACAAGAACAAUAUACAUUUUGGACCCUACUCCUUUUAAUCCAAUAUACCGAACAACCCACUCGCAAAAUAUUUGAAAAAAUUAUAUGGAUUAACGAACACUUACCGAAAGCAAUGUCAAAAGCAUGCCCUGGGUCUAGAUGGAACGAGGAUAUUCUCCUAUGGCAUCAUAAAAUCCUAGAUGAUAUUCCAGUUUACAACAGGGAACUGUCUGGUUAUCUUGUUCCCCUAUUCAUGUCCACAUGGGAAGAUGAAAGACCACAUUUGCCAUUUUUAAAGAAAACUAAUUUUGGGCCAAGUGCUAACAUUCAAGGACAAUGAAUGUGAAGAUAACAUGCCUGCUGGUGUAUUGGAAUUCAUCAAUUGUAUUAGGAAAAUCCAAAAUUAAAUUGGGAGCUCAAUCGGUGGAAGGUGAUUUGUCGGAGAGAAUUCUUGCAGCCAACAAUUAAUAGACAAUGAGCAGGGAGACAAUGACAAUUAAUAAUAGAUUUUGGUUUCUACUUAAGAUAUCGCUUACAUAUAUGUAGAAAAACUUUGGAGCUUGCCAGGAUAUAGUUUUUUUGGGGUUACCAAUUAUAAGCGACGAUGGAGUGCUUCAAAAUUUGAUGUUUGGGGGUUCAAACAUGACAAUACUGUGGAAAUCACAAAUAAUACAGAAUCAUGUACCGUGUUGAUCAAUAAUUAUUUUAUAGUUUGUUUCUAGUGAUUU